CCCCACAAUACCCAAAACAAUUGGUAAAUUUCAAAAACUUUUUUCUUCUAUUCCCAAAUCACACAUUGAAGAAACAAGACCUAGAUUCUAUCAGCGCCAAAUCUUCCCGGGUUCUGUUAAUUUUCCCUCUACAAUUUUUGAGUAUCCCCAAAUCUUCUAUCUGCAAUUUUCGAGAUUAGUACCCAUAUGGCAACAUACCCAGAUGACUUUCCCUCUAAUCCUAUUCACUCCAUCAAACCUAAUAUUCAUCGUUGUUGGCAGAAAAGAAAAAAACAUGCGUUUUCUCUCUUUGAUGAUAUGAACACACAUUAUCCAUCCAUCACUGAUGUCUUCGUCUUUUUCAUAGUCUUCUUCCGCUGUUCUUAAGUGGUUCUGCUAUUGCUAGAGCUCCGGGUUACCUCCGCUUUGAAUACGCAAAGUUCCCUUGUCAAAAGUAAUCUUCUGACUUCAGCAUUUACGAAAUGACAUAAGUUAACCGGCUUCAAGUCCUGUCUUGCCUGGAUUUCUGAAAUUUUUAUUGCUUGAUUGGAGGUACUGCAAUCUCUCUACCUUGGUUGGAUUUCAUGUUUCCCCUUGUUGAACUUCCAGUUUGCUUUUUGUUGAUAAAUUGUUUAGUAGACAUAUAAUUGUUAUCAUGUUAUUUACACAAUGCAUCAAAAGGUUAUGGAUUCCGUUCUUUUGCCUUCUGCAUGCUUUGCUUCUUGUUGUUUUUGGCACUCAUCUACUAUUGAUACCUUAUGUUUUAACUUGGCUCUUAUUUAUUUGUUCUCCAUUGUAUUAGUCCCAUGGCUUGCAAUGUUUUCAUCCUUGGUUGUUUCAUUUACUUUCCUCCAUACAUGUUAAAUUUACAAUUAUUUUUGUAAAUAGAUAAAUUCUGCACACUUGUUUAUGACCUUAUUUUUCUUGAAUGUCAAAGAGUAAGAUUAUGAUUAGUAUUGCUGCUUAUG